rnacentral:rRNA from 1 species
UACGGGGGGAGCAAGCGUUGUUCGGAUUUACUGGGCGUAAAGGGCGCGUAGGCGGCCACCGCAAGUCGACUGUGAAACCUCCGGGCUUAACUCGGAAAGGUCAGCCGAUACUGCGGGGCUAGAGUGCAGAAGGGGCAACUGGAAUUCUCGGUGUAGCGGUGAAAUGCGUAGAUAUCAAGAGGAACACCUGAGGUGAAGACGGGUUGCUGGGCUGACACUGACGCUGAGGCGCGAAAGCCAGGGGAGCAAACGGG